UCUUCUAAAGAUGAGCACAUACAGAAUCAGCUCCAACUGGGAAUGACACCCAUGGCAAUGAGUGUGUGGCAUUCGUAGUUAAUGGUAAGCAGCAGCACGUGAAAGAAGAUAAGAAACUAAUGAAGAUGCCGAUCAAAUAUUUCAACUGUACCAAAGGGAGAAGAGUGCAAUUUCAUUUGUACAUCGAGAAGAUUGCUCUGUGACUCCAACCCAGUCAUACUCAGCUUCCUUUUGAGGAUAUUGAGACAAAUAGAUACUUCCAGAUCGUGAGUCAGGAGCCAUCCAAAACCAGGGGUAAUCCCUUGUGCCUUGGUACCAGCGUGAGCUGAACUGGAGCCAUGACUGUGGUUUCCUCUGCUCAGUGCUCCUGUGGGACAUGGUCUGGUGUGAGACCUUCUCUUCCUGCAACUGCAUCCUCCUAAUUUUAGCACAUGCAGUUUGUGGUGUACUGUACUCACUGGUUCUCCUCCAUGCAGUCAGGUUAGUCAUUUGUCCUCUGGAUUUUCUUUGGGUUUGUGACUAUUGAACUUCAUCUUAUGGGCUUCCAGAGUGGCUUUCCACUUUUUCAAUAUGCUUUAUUUUCAAUCCUGUCUUCCAAAGAGCUUGCAAUCUUUCCAGCUUGCUUUCUACACUUUAAAG